rnacentral:rRNA from 1 species
UAAUCGAAGCAGUGAACUUAAGCCCCAGUAAACGGCGGCCGUAACUAUAACGGUCCUAAGGUAGCGAAAUUCCUUGUCGGGUAAGUUCCGACCCGCACGAAAGGCGUAACGAUUUGGGCACUGUCUCAACAACAGACUCGGUGAAAUUGUAAUUCCGGUGAAGAUGCCGGAUACCUGCGACAGGACGGAAAGACCCCAUGGAGCUUUACUGUAGCUUGACAUUGGGUCUUGGUACUACAUGUACAGGAUAGGUGGGAGGCUUUGAAACCAGGACGCCAGUUUUGGCGGAGCCAUCCUUGGGAUACCACCCUUGUAGUACUGGGACUCUAACCAUAGGCCAUGAAUCUGGUCUUGGGACACUGUCAGGUGGGCAGUUUGACUGGGGCGGUCGCCUCCCAAAAGGUAACGGAGGCGCUCAAAGGUUCUCUCAGUACGGUCGGAAAUCGUACGUAGAGUGUAAAGGCAAAAGAGAGCUUGAUUGCAAGACAUACAGGUCGAGCAAGGAUGAAAAUCGGACUUAGUGAUCCGGUGGUUCUGCGUGGAAGGGCCAUCGCUCAACGGAUAAAAGCUACCCUGGGGAUAACAGGCUUAUCUCCCCC